rnacentral:rRNA from 1 species
GUUCGUUGCCAUAGACCCGAAACCGGGUGACCUACCCAUGAGCAGGUUGAAGUGGGGGUGAAACCCCAUGGAGGACCGAACCGACCCCCGUUGCAAUGGUGGCGGAUGACUUGUGGAUAGCGGAGAAAUUCCAAUCGAACUCGGAGAUAGCUGGUUCUCCCCGAAAUAGCUUUAGGGCUAGCGUUAUCUUAGAUUACCGGAGGUAAAGCACUGAAUGGGCUAGGGGGCGAUAAGCUUACUGAACCCUAUCAAACUCUGAAUGCCGGCUAAUUGAUGAUCAGCAGUCAGACAGUGUGAGAUAAGUUUCAUUGUCAAAAGGGAAACAGCCCAGACCCACAGCUAAGGUCCCUAAUGUAUGCUAAGUGGAAAACGAUGUGGAAUUGCGAAAACAACCAGGAUGUUGGCUUAGAAGCAGCCACUCAUUAAAAGAGUGCGUAAUAGCUCACUGGUCGAGUGACUCUGCGCGGAAAAUAUAACGGGGCUAAGCAUACAACCGAAGCUUGGGAUUGUCUAAAGACAGUGGUAGGGGAGCGUCGUGUAUGGGGUGAAGUCGCAUCGGAAGGAGCGGUGGACUGUACACGAGUGAGAAUGCCGGAAUGAGUAGCGAGAAUUAUGUGGGAAUCAUAAUGGCCGAAAAUCUAAGGUUUCUUGGGGAAGGUUCGUCCGCCCAAGGUAAGCCGGGAGCUAAGGCGAGGCCGCAAGGCGUAGUCGAUGCACAUACGGUAAAGAUUCCGUAGCCGCCGAACUUUAAGUCAGAGGGACACUUGCAGAUAGCGGAACCCAGCCGUUGGUUGAGCUGGGCGAAAGGGACUGAAAUUAGUAGGGAAGUCCGCGAUGCUGAAAGGCGAGAAAAGCUCUGAUGGAUACUAAGGCGCCCGUACCGCAAACCGACACAGGUAGAUGAGGAGAGAAUCCUAAGGCCAACGGGAGAAGGGUUGUUAAGGAACUCGGCAAAUUGACCCCGUAACUUCGGAAGAAGGGGAGCCCCGAAAGGGGCCGCAGUGAAUAGGCCCAAGCAACUGUUUACCAAAAACACAGGUUUAUGCUAAAUCGAAAGAUGACGUAUAUGAGCUGACGCCUGCCCGGUGCCGGAAGGUUAAGAGGAGAGCUUAGAGGCAACUCGAAGGUUUGAAUUGAAGCCCCGGUAAACGGCGGCCGUAACUAUAACGGUCCUAAGGUAGCGAAAUUCCUUGUCAGGUAAGUUCUGACCCGCACGAAUGGCGUAAUGAUCUGGGCACUGUCUCGACAGCCCACCCGGCGAAAUUGUAGUACUGGUGAAGAUGCCAGUUACCCGCAACUAGACGGAAAGACCCCAUGGAGCUUUACUGCAGUUUAAUACUGGGAAUCGGUAAUUCAUGUACAGGAUAGGUGGGAGACUGAGAAGCAUGGCCGUCAGGUCGUGUGGAGUCACCGGUGGGAUACCACUCUUGGAUUGCUGGUUUCCUAACCUGCGGCCCUGAAUCGGGUCGGGGGACACUGUUAGACGGGCAGUUUGACUGGGGCGGUCGCCUCCAAAAGAGUAACGGAGGCGCUCAAAGGUUCGUUCAGCACGGACGGAAAUCGUGCAUUGAGUGUAAACGCAUAAACGAGCCUAACUGCGAGACCGACGGGUCGAGCAGUAACGAAAGUUGGAGUUAGUGAUCCGGUGGUAUGUGAGUGGAAAUGCCAUCGCUCAACGGAUAAAAGCUACCCUGGGGAUAACAGGCUGAUCUCCCCCAAGCGUCCACAGCGACGGGGAGGUUUGGCACCUCGAUGUCGGCUCGUCGCAUCCUGGGGCUGUAUUCGGUCCCAAGGGUUUGGCUGUUCGCCAAUUAAAGCGG